GUAUUCAAGUUACUUUAAAGUUUAAUUUAUAAGAUUAAUUUUUUUAAGUUUCGAAUUUAAAGGAUAAACUGCCUUAAUAUAAUAUGUACGUGUUGGUGGAUAAAACUCCUAAAAGAGGAUAUCAAGAUCUCAACUCACUAGUUUAAUUUUGUUGUUAGAGCGUUUGUGUGGGUUUUUUUCUCAUGUUAUUUCAAACAUGUAUGAUAAUUUAGAAAGUGUUUUUUCUUUUUCUCGUAUGUAUCUACAAUUGUUCAUCAGAUAGCUUCAUAAAACAUUCCUCCUAAGAAAUAUAUCAUUUUCCUAGCUUAUAUUUAUUUCUAAAGUUUAUGUUGGAAUAUCAAAUGCAUUUUAUAUUUACCUUUGUUGUUUACCUAUGUAUAUCAAUUCAUAAUUUAAAAAACGUCACAAUUUGAAAGAAUAUUUUAUGGUUUAUAAAAUAUGUUAUACUUUAAGUUAAUAUACAUUUAUACCUAAUUACUUUAUUGUUUCUUAUGAUUUUUUGGUUUAUACAAUAGUGUUUUCAAUUUUUAAUUUUGCAUUGAAUUGCACAUAUCUUUAACCUUAAAAUGUUAAUAAGCUAGUUAUUGAUAUUUAAUAUCAUUACAGUACCAAUCAGACCCAACCUAACACCAGAGUAAACCCCAUGUAAACCCCGAGUUUACUUUUCUAGAUUUACCCUUUGAAAAUCUGGGUCCGCUCGGGGCUUACUUUGGGUUCGCUCUGGGUGUACUUUGGGUUAACUCGAGAAUUGCGUUUUGGGUCAACUGUACGCUCUGAAGUGUGAAGCAGACCCAUCAUUUAUCUUAUCAUCUUAUUGCCUGUAAUUCCUGCCCCUUGUAUAUUCCGAAUACACAUGUAGCGUCUGCUUUUAGGGGUAUACUUCUGAUCGGGGUUUGCUUUCUGUGUUCACUCUGUGUUUACUUUGGGUUUACUCUAGAUCUGCGUCCACUCUAGUAAACCCGGAGUAAACCCAGAAUGUAAUCCCGGGGUUUAGUUGGGGUUUACUUUCUGUUAUGUUAGGUCUAAUUGGUACUGCAUUUUCCAAUGUAGUUGCGUAUUUUUUUCACAAUCUUGUAUUGUUCGCUACAUGCGUUGUUUACAGUCCCUUUUUUGUAAUUAACUGUAAACCUUGGGCAUUCAAAAUUAUACAGGUACAUGUACACUUAUAAGUACGAAAAUUCUAUAAAAUAUUUUUUUCCUUCGUUUAUCCUUUAACAGUCCAAUACGGGUUGUAUUUUGUGUUUAAAUUUUAAUUUUAAUUCAUGCAUGGCUCCUACAUGUAAGAACUAGUAUCAAAAUAGACAUUUAUUCAGUUAAGUUCUAUAUUAUAGGAUGCCGAAUUACUAUCAGGUCUCAACAAUCAAUGACUUAAUUUAUUGCUCAAAAAUAUGUUGUUAAUUACAUUUUUGUGUGCCAUAAAUAUGAUACAGUUACAAAUAUAUUUAGAUUUUGUUUGUAUAUAAACCAGCUUUUAUUCACCUCCUAAAGUUUUGCUAUGUUUUUGGUUUAGUUUUUAAUAUCAAAUAUUCCUAGACUGCUUUACAUUUUAUGCUUUUAGUUUGUUAUUGCUACUUAAUUUAAAUGCAUCAAUAUCCUGUUAAUCCUGGAUUCUAAUGUUGUACUCAUGAUUUUUUUUAAUAAAGCAGGCCAGGAUGUUAAAAAUCUUCGUAAUCUGCUAUUUGCGUACAUGUGAUAAAGAGUGAAUGGUUCGAACAACACUCAUGUUAUUUUUCUUGCUAUAUGUAUCAAUACUUACCAUUGCUAUAUAUUUGGGCAAUUUUCUAGUAGCUUUUUACACGAAAGAGUAAUUUCAUAUACAAAAAACUAAUAAUGAUUAUGAUGAAAAUGAUAAUUAUAAUGAUGAUAAUAGUUAUUAUUUUUUUUUAUUAUUAUUAUGAAUGAUGAUAAAACACGUUUUGGAGGUUCUGUGCUAUUUUUAAUGUGGUCAUUUAUAUUCUUGUCAUUUCCUGUGCAUAAGAUAGUUAUAGUUGAACGAUUUUUUGGUUGGAAUAUUUAAACUCUGUGAAAAUAAACCAUUAUAAUG
rnacentral:misc_RNA from 1 species